rnacentral:rRNA from 1 species
UGCCAGCAGCCGCGGUAAUACUGAAGGUGCAAGCGUUAAUCGGAAUUACUGGGCGUAAAGCGCGCGUAGGCGGCUUGGUCAGUUGGAUGUGAAAGCCCCGGGCUCAACCUGGGAACUGCAUUCAAUACUGCCAAGCUAGAGUAUGGGAGAGGGCUGUGGAAUUUCUAGUGUAGCGGUGAAAUGCGUAGAUAUUAGAAGGAACAUCAGUGGCGAAGGCGGCAGCCCGGCCCAAUACUGACGCUGAGGUGCGAAAGCGUGGGGAGCAAACAGGAUUAGAUA